rnacentral:rRNA from 1 species
GGAUUCCCCUAGUAACUGCGAGUGAAGCGGGAAGAGCUCAAAUUUAAAAUCUGGCGGUCUCUGGCCGUCCGAGUUGUAAUCUAGAGAAGUGCUGCCCGCGCUGGACCGUGUACAAGUCUCCUGGAAUGGAGCGUCAUAGAGGGUGAGAAUCCCGUCUCUGACACGGACUACCAGGGCUUUGUGGUACGCUCUCAAAGAGUCGAGUUGUUUGGGAAUGCAGCUCAAAAUGGGUGGUAAAUUCCAUCUAAAGCUAAAUAUUGGCGAGAGACCGAUAGCGAACAAGUACCGUGAGGGAAAGAUGAAAAGAACUUUGGAAAGAGAGUUAAACAGUACGUGAAAUUGCUGAAAGGGAAACGCUUGAAGUCAGUCGCGUUGGCCGGGGAUCAGCCUCGCUUUUGCGUGGUGUACUUUCUGGUUGACGGGUCAGCAUCAAUUUUGACCGCUGGAAAAAGGCUUGGGGAAUGUGGCAGCUUCGGCUGUGUUAUAGCCCUUUGUCACAUACAGCGGUUGGGAUUGAGGAACUCAGCACGCCGCAAGGCCGGGUUUCGACCACGUUCGUGCUUAGGAUGCUGGCAUAAUGGCUUUAAGCGACCCGUCUUGAAACACGGACCAAGGAGUCUAACAUGCCUGCGAGUGUUUGGGUGGAAAACCCGAGCGCGUAAUGAAAGUGAAAGUUGAGAUCCCUGUCGUGGGGAGCAUCGACGCCCGGACCAGAACUUUUGGGACGGAUCCGCGGUAGAGCAUGUAUGUUGGGACCCGAAAGAUGGUGAACUAUGCCUGAAUAGGGUGAAGCCAGAGGAAACUCUGGUGGAGGCUCGUAGCGAUUCUGACGUGCAAAUCGAUCGUCAAAUUUGGGUAUAGGGGCGAAAGACUAAUCGA